UAACACACUGAUGAAGCGAUAAAAUCUCUAAACCGAACCAAGCCAUUGCACGCCGGAUUUCGCGCAACAUUUGAGUCAUCACCUUGUGUGAUCUUAUAGUAU